GGUUGGCCUAUGUCAUAUGAAUUGCUAAGUGUUUUGACUCUAAUCCUAGAGGAAAGUAUUCAGUCUAAUUUGGACAGACGUCUUAGGCUGGUGUGGCCUCUAUAGCAAAAUACCACAGACUGGGUUGUUUAUAAACAGCAGAAAUUUCUAUCUGCAGUUCUGGAAGCUGGAUGUCCAAGAUCAGGGUGCCACCAAGGUUGAAUGGGUCAUGGACUUCUCAUUUUAUCCCACGUGGUGGAAUGGGCUGGGGAGCUCUGGGGCAACUUUAUUAAGAGGGCACUUAUCCAUCUGUGAGGGCUGUGCCCCCAACCCCCCAAUACCAUCACCUUGGGAAUUAGGGCUUUAGCACAUGAACUGGGGGGAGGCAGGCAAGAACAUUCAGACCAUAAUGACAGGGCCUAAGAACUCAGCAUUUAACUACUAUUCGGCUCACUUUAAUUUGGCAACAUCUUGGCCUUUAACCUAGAAAUAAUCUUCAGAAAUAAUUUUUCAAUUAUCCUGAUGUAUCAGCCAAGUACAAACGAAGCUCCUCUACAAAGACACCCCCAAAAUACAGUAGCUCAAAUGAGAAAGAAGUUUAAUUCUAUCUUCCACCAAAUCAACAAAAAUGAAGGUGAUCCAGUGUAGAGAGGCGGUUCUGCCACAGGAGAUCUUUAGGAACCAUGUCCCUGCUGCUCCCCAAUUCCCCUGAGUAUUGUCCUCAUCUGUAAGGUGGAGGCUUGUCACCAGCAUCACAUCCAUAUUUUUAUACUAAAAAACAAAAACUUUGACCAAGUAAUUUACACUUUUUUUUUCUUUGUCUUUUGUCUUUCUAGGGCUGCACCUGCAGCACAUGGAGGUUCCCAGGCUAGGGGGUCAAAAUGGAGCUGUAGCUGCCAGCCCAUCCCAGAGCCAUAGCAACGCCAGAUCCAAGUUGUAUCAGCGACCUACACCACAGCUCAUAGCAAAGCUGGAUCCUCAAUCCACUGAUCGAGGCCAGGGAUUGAAUCUACAACCUUAUGGUUCCUAGUCGGAUUCGUUUUCUCUGUGCCACAAUGGGAAUGCCUUUUGUUUUUGGGUUUUUUUUGGGUUUUUUGACAGUUUUUUUUUUUUUUUUUUAAUGGCUGCACCCACAGCAUAUGGAAGUUCCCAGGCCAGGAAUUGAAUCCGAGCCACUGCUGUGACCCAAGAUACAGCUGUGGCAACACCAGAUCCUUUAACCUACUGUGCCAGGCCAGGGGCUGAGCCCACGCCUCUGGCAGUGACAGAAGUCGCUGCGGUCAAAUUCUUAACCCACUGGGCCAUAGCGGGAACUCCUACACAUAUCACUUUUGUUUACAUAAAAUUCAGUGGGUCUUUUUGAUAUCUGAAGAAAUAAAUUCCCUUAAAUGAUGUGGAAGAGACAGUGUUAAGGGUUUGCCAAAUUCAACAUCAUUUUGUCUCUUUCUGACUGGACAGGAAGGCCACAUAUCUCAACUUCUCUUUCCCUUAGGUUGUGUUCAUAAGACUGGAUUCUGGUGUAUUGGUGGAAGUGAUGUGCUCCACUGGUCAUAAAACUCCUUGGAUGAUUGUCUAAGCUCUUACUUCCCUUACCAUGAAUGCCUGGGAGGCCUCAAGUUUAAGAUGCAAGCAUCAUAGAAUGGAAGGAGACUAGAUCCCUGAGUCAUCUUGUGGAGGAAAUCUACCAAGGAGAGUUGCCCGACAGCGCUGGACUGUGAUGUAAGUGAUUAAUAAAUCUUUAUUGUGUGUACUCCAUGAGAUCUAGGUACCUUACCCUGAUUAACUCAGAUGGUACAGAAAAGGGAUAUUUGUAUGGAAUAUAAGCCUAUAGUGAGUAGAUUUAAAGUUUGAAUGUAUUCAUACCCUAAUUUUUCCUAUUCCAAGAUUACCGAAUUCAUCAUAGAGUUUAGGUAGCUGAGCAGAAUGUUGUAGAGAAAAUAAUGUGAACUGUAGAACUCCACUGAAUUAGAUUCAAAUGCUGUCUCAGACAUUUAUUACCUUGACUUUAAAGUGUUUUCUUUCUGAAAUCCAAUACUUUCUAUCUACUAGCAUUAUUAAGUCAGCUAAAACCUAUUAGGUAACUCUCUUCCAUUCCUAUACCCUUCUAAUAUUCUAAUAUUUCCAAUCCAGUGUUUAAUUUCUGUGGUUCCCCAUUCUACACUCGAUCUUCGCCAAAAGGCUGAGAAGUGAUGGUUCUCCAUUCUAAACUGAUUUUCAUAAAUUUGACUUUAUAGUAGUACCAGACUAAAGGCUGGACAACAAAAGCAACAGUGGAGCCCAGAGAAAGUAGCCAUGUCCUUAAUUUGUGCCCAAAUAAAAGAAAAUCACUACAAAAUUUUAUGUGUUGAAAAUAGUGCUUAGUAGAGAACAAUUUUCCCUUUAUUUAGUACAUUAUUCAGGAAGUUCCCAAGUUAGAGAAAGACUAUGCUGUGCACUAUAGCACAAUUUUGAAAAUACUGUAUUUAAUUAAAAUGGGAAUUUCUGAAAUGAUUGCUAUAGAAUUUGUCUUUCCAAACCUGAAGUAAAAAUUUUGACCCAUGCAAUAUUUAUGAGUUAAUUUUCUUUUUUUCCCCAUCUCAUCUUAACAAUCUGACGAAUAGCCUCCAUUUCAAAUUAUUGAGGGUGGACCAUUGGCAGAAUAUGUACCAGCAAAGACAGAGAUAACUAGUAACAGCCUAAGUUUUCAAUCUGUUUACACACAUACAAAGCCACUUUGUAAACACUGACUUCAAAGGUACACCUGUGAGAGAUGCCUUUGUUACUUGCUGUUUAACAUUUUAAAAAAUUGUUUAGCAUUUAUAGCAUAUAUUUGGUGGCUUUUUAAAUUAAAAAAACAAACACAAGCUGACAUAUAACUUAUUAACACAAACAUGGCACAAUUUUUAUAUUAUACUCCCUUGGAAAAAGAGUUAAUAAUCGAACAGGCAUUACAUUGUGAGUUUACAGAAUUUGAUCCUACAUUGUGCAGCAAUGUCUUUAAAAGAUCAAUAUUGCAGCAAACUAAGCUCUCUGUGGCAUAGCUUCCCUUUUAUAAAAUGAGUAUUUCCUUUCAAUUUUCAGCCAUGUGUCCCUGAAAAUUGUUAGAGUAGCGAGGUACUCUCUUGGGCUUCUUUGCCUCUCUGAUCUUAGGUAAUGAUUUCUUCUUUUCUUUUUGGUCUCUUCUCUCCAUCCCAACCUCUAAUUUCUCUCAAAUCUCUAUCCCAAGACCUCUACUUCCUCACCAUCGCUCCCAUAACAUGGAAUUGCAUUUUUGCAUAGAGUUUGAUUCUAAAGUCAGUGAGUGGAUCUCCCGUUGUGGCUCAGUAGGCUAAGAACCCAACAUAGUGUCUGCGAGGAUUUGGGUUCAAUCCCUGACCUCCCUCAGUGAGUUAAGGACCUGGUGUUGCCCCAAGCUGUGGUGUAGGUUGCAGAUGUAGCUUGGAUCUGCUGUAGCUGUGGCUGUGGUGUAGGCCUCAGCUGCAGCUCUGAUUCGACCCCUGGCCUGGGAACUUCCAUAUGCUGCAGGUGCAGCCAUAAAAAGAAAAAUAAAAAAAUAGAAAACAAAGCCAGUGAACAAGGUUGAAAAAUCAUACCAAGUCAGAAAUACCCUAGAAAAAAAAUCUCUUCAUUCCCCUGGAAAGUACAAUAUACAUGGCCCUUUUUAUGCACACUUGAGGCUGCUACAGCAUCCAACUCAGCCAGUUUUUCCUCCAGCGUUGGAACAGAUUGCUGUUUUCUCAGUGAAACACCUGAUGAAGUAGUUGGCUUGCAUUUAGGGGCCAUGUUGUACCAAAAAAAUGUAUCUUUAAACACUUGAAUCACACUCAGUAUGGUGAGAUGCUCAUACUAUGAGAGCGAUUCAGGAACUGAGACAAACUGAAGGAACAUCAGAUUCACAUCUCCCGCCCUGCGCUCCUUUAGGGCAUAUGCUCCAGUGGAACGUGGGACAGAAUCACCCACACUGUUUACAUUCUUCUCUUUCUCUCUUUCUCUUUCUGGCAGAGUAAGUCGAGUUGAGUAUGGAGGAGAACUUUCUUCUAUAUGUAUUAGGGAAAAAUUCUAUUCAAAACCACAACUUUUUCUGAGAAGGGCAGCUUGUGGUAAAGGAAAUUUCAGGGUCUCUGUGGCUCUUGAGUGUCAUAAUGAGAAUCAGUGCCCCCAUCAGUUUAAUAGAGGGAACUGCCUUGUAGCUUGUGGUCAUACAAAGAUCAGGGAGCCUUGGAGUCUGGGAUGUGCAGGUUGGAGAGGGCGGACUUGCUCUGGGCAGUGGUUUUACAACCUUGGCUCUAUUGACAUUUCGGAUGGGACAGGUCUCUGUUGGAUGGUGGUUGGGGUUGGGAGGGGGGCUUUUCCGUGCCAUGUAGGAUGUUUAGCAGCAUCUCCAUCCUCAGCUCAUGAGGUGCCACUAGUAACCCCCAUCCCAAAGUUGGGAAAACCAGAAACAUCUCCAGACAUUGCCAAACCAGCCUUCAGGAAGCAAAAUCACUCUUGAUUGAAAAACUUGAUAUAAUAGAGUAGAAAGAGUUUGAGAUCUUGGGGGAAGUUUUUCAGUGGAACAAGUGAAAAGGAGACAUGGGGUCAGGGAGAAGCAAUUUUCUAGAUAGUGCAAGGCUGGACACUACAUAAGGUAAAAAGGCCUCUGAAAAACUCUUAAUCGUGGGAUGGCUUUUCUUAUUUUUUUCUUAUUAUUUUAUUUUUUACAGCCACACUUGUGGCAUCUGGAAGUCCCUGGGCUAGGGAUCCAAAAAGAACUGUAGCUGUUGGCCUAUACCCCAGCCAUAGUAACACUGGCUGGUCCCAAGCUUCAUCUUCAAACUUCACCACAGCUUAUGACCAUGCCGGCUCCUUAACCCACUGAGUGAGGCCAGGGAUUGAACCAACAUUUUUAUAGAGACAACACCGUGUUUUUAACCCACCGAGCCACAAAUGGAACUCCAUGGGACAGCUUUUUAAAAACAGAUAAAUGCAGUUCCCAUGGUGGCUCAGUGGUUAACGAACCCAACUGGUAACUAUGAGGUGGUGGGUUCAAUCCCUGGCCUUGCUCAGUGGGUUAAGGAUCCAGUGUUGCCGUGAGCUGUGGUGUAGGUCACAGACGUGACUUGGAUCCUGUGUUGUUGUGGCUGUGAUGUAGGCCAGGAGCUAUAGCUCUGACUGGACCCCUAGCCUGGGAACCUCCAUAUGCCACAGGUGUGGCCCUAAAAAAAAAGACAAAAAAAUAAAAAACAAAAAA
rnacentral:lncRNA from 1 species